AGGUAGAGCUGACCUACUUCAGACACGGCGGAAUCCUCAACUACAUGAUCCGACGGAUGUUAUGAUCAAGUCAAUCCGUGACAAAUCCAACAAAUCCGCAAUACGUCCGGACUAUACCUUUGUAAUGGUGUCUCAAUUAAGGUGUUAUAAAAGUGAUUCGUGAAUGGAAAAUUAGCGAGUUUGAUUUGUGUUAGUGGUGAUUUAGGACUGAUUUCAUUUUCUGUGAUGUAUUUUGAAAUGGAACAGUUGAAGAGUGUGGAACUAAGGACAGGGGCAGAAGUCGACAGCACAUGUUUCACAGGCUCAAUUCUAAAAGAUGUCUUUCAUUGGUAGUGAUUAAGAUUUUUUUCCUUGAAAUACUAUGGUAAUCGUUUCUGCAUGUGUGGGUAAAUUUGGGGGAAAUACAAAGGCUUCUGAUGUUUUUAAAGGGUCAAAUAACUUGAAUUAUUUUGUAUUCUUUGCCAGCAUAUUACAUAUAUUCUAUUCUAUAUUAAGAAAGUUUCUGCCAAUAUAUGCAUUUAAAAUAUGCAUUUUGAUAAAAAAUUGACUACUUUUUGCAUUACUUUUUUUUUCAAUGAAAACAGGCCAAUUCUUUGCAUUAUAUUAUUGGUUAAUUUUUAAGUUUUCUUAUAUAUAAUCUUUUAAUGAGUUGAAAUAUUAGAUUUUAAAAUGGAUGGCAAAUAGUGUGUUAUUUUAAGAUAUGAAUACAAACAAUUAUGACAUAACUACACAUGUACAUGUAUAUGUAUUUACAUGAUUAAAGCAAGAAUUGUGAAGAUAUCAUUUUGCCCAUUUGAUUUGGUACAUACACAGUUUCAUGUAUUAUAAUUGUGAUAUGUACAAGAGGUAUUGAUGUGAAUUUUGCAUUUUUGACAUUAAUCUGUGACAAAUUCUUCUUGUCAUUGUAAUGGGUACACCAGCUGUGACAGCAAUAUAUAAAACUCUGGUAAUUAAAACAAGAUAAUUAUG
rnacentral:misc_RNA from 1 species